UGGCUAUACCCCCAUUUUAUUUCAGAAAUAACUAACUUGUUUUUCAUUUUGCAGAUUCAUAGGUAGAAGGAGAGGAGUCUCAGAUAAGAUUUUGGACUGGGACUUUAGACUUUUGAAUUCACACUGGAAUGAAUCAAGACUUUGGAUGGCCAUUGGGAAGUGGGACUUCUACUUCAGGCCACACUGGAAUAGAUGACACCAGACAUUCUCUCAUCAUAUACAACUGGAAAAUGAAACAAUAUUUAGAAAACAUUCAUUUGCCAAAAUUAGACAAAGGACAGAACGAGAUUCUGAUCCUGGAGAGUAAGAAAACAAACAAGGCGAUCAAGUUUUUCUUGGAAGAACUCCAAUACCGUGGUGAAAGGAGAUGGAACCCAAGCAGAGAAUGGCAGCUUGUAUUCUGACAAGCCAAGGUGAUGAGAUCUUGUUGAAAAUCCAAGGCCUUGAACAGAGGCACCAGAAUGUCACACCUUCCUUGCGUGGAUAAACUAUCUCUAGAGUGAAGGCUACUCUAGACUCAUCCUGGCAAAGCUUACACGUAAGCCUCAGAUGCUCAAGAGGAUCUAAACGUAACUUAAUUGUUUGCCAAAAUAAAUGCCUUUUAAAGAAAACUAAAAUUUAGACACCAAACAAAAUGUUUAAAUUUCUAGACAUAUGAGGAAGCAGGAAACUGUGACCCUCAAUUAAAACAAAUAAACAAACAGAAACAGGCAUGGAAGUGUCAGAUAUGAGACAUAAAUAAUGGGAUUAAGAGUUAAAAACUUUAAAACAGCUAUAAAAAUGCUAAGGACUUUAAAGAAACUUAAUGUGAGGCCAAAUUAAAGCAAUAAAAAUUACCAAAUGGGAAUUCUAUAGUUUAAAUAUACAACAUUGAGAAUUAAAAAUUCACUCAAUGGACUUAAGAGUGGAUUGACUACUACAGAAGAAAAGAACAAUGAACUUGAACACAUAUAUUAGAAACUAUCCAGUUGAAGCAGAGAAAGAGAGAAAAGGUAGGUGCAUGCACACACACACACAAAAUGAACAGAAAUUAGUGACCUGUGAGACAAUGGUAGAUAGCCUAAUAUACAUGUUACUAUGUAACUAUCUUUAAAGGGGUGGUUAGAGACUGUAACAUAUUUGACAAAAUAAUAGCUGAAAAGUUUCCAAUUUUGAUGAAAACUAUAAAUCAACAGAUUCUGGAUACCCAGCAAAUAUGUAGCAUGACAAACAUAAAGAAAACCACCUCAAGGUAUGUCAGAAUCAAAUUGAUGUAAACCAGAGAUAUUGAGAAAAUUAUAACAAAACAGAGGGAAAAAAAGGCAACAUUACAUACAAAGUAAUGAAGAUAAGAAUGACUCCUUGAAAACAAUGCAGGCCAGAGGACAAUAGAAUGAGAAUUUUCGUGUGUAGGAAAAAGGUAAUCAUCACCCUGAAAUUAUAUAUCCAGUAAAUGAAAAUGAAAAGUAAAAUGAAAGUAAAAUACAUAGAUUUUCACUUAAAAGAAGUUGAGAGAAUGAAUGGCCAGUAGAUCUGCACUGAGAGAAAUAGUAAAGAAAAUUCUUUAUGCUGAAGGAAAAUGAAAUCAGAUGGAAAUUUAAAUCAACAGAAAGAUAUGUAAAGGGAAAUAGAAUUAAUAUAUGAGUAAAUAUAAAAGAGAUUUUUCUCAAUUUAAAUGUCUUUCAAAGAUAAUUGGCUACAUAAAGCAAUAAUAAUAAUAAUAAUAAUAAUGUGUUUUAGGGUUUGUAACACUCAUAGAUGUCAACUAUAUGACCAAAAUAGUACAAAAGAUGAGAGGAAAAAAAAUGAAAGUAAGACUUAUUGGUAAAACAGUAUUAAUAUUCUUCAAAGAUAGAUUGUGAGAUUUAAGAUACAUAUUAUAAACUCAGAAGAGACCACUGGAAAGAAACUAAAAUGGUAUACCAAUCAAAACAACGGAGAAGAUAGAAUGGAACACUAAAAAUAAGUAAAAAGAGAGGUGCUAGGAAAGGAGGUAAAAAGCAAUGAAGAAUAGGUAGAAAACUAGAAAAUAAAUAGCAGAAUGGCAGAUUUUAAAAUCAGGCAAUUUGAUAUUAUUUUAAAUAUAGAUCAUGUAAAACAAAGAAUGGUUAAAAAGAAGAAACUGUCUUAAUGGAUAAUAAAGCAAAACUAAACUAUAUCAUGCUUAUAAGAAAUACAGUUUAAAAAUAAAGAUGUAGAUAUGUUAAAAGAAAAUACCAUAACCCAAGCCAAGACUAUUCUUAGGAAUGCAGGAUCCUCUGGUAGAUUUUAUUUCUGGCCAAGGUACAUUCCUGAGGCCCAGACACAUCCCUCCUAUCCCUUUGGCUUGGCAGUUUAAAAUUUCCUUAGAUUUCACCAUUCUUUAAAUGCUCGCUUUGCCCAAGCUAUUAAGAGUUGGUUUCUUUUCCAUGAGACCAAAAUCCAAGUAAUAUAGAACUUUAGGAAUGUCUCCCCAUACAGAUUAAGGCCCUAACAAAAAGAGUGUUGCCCUGGCUCAAGUCCACCACUUCUACUGUGAGAUAUGUCGAGAAUCACUUUCCUAGAUGACUGUGCUCUUAAGUCAUCACAAAUAAACCUUGUUCAUUAACACGUGAGUGGUUCGAUUUCACUUGCAGGCCUUUUUGCCUUUUGGUCCUACGGAUGGGGUAAAAAGCCAUAGAGAUUAUGGUUAGAAAAUGGUCUGAGAUGAGCUUUGACAAAUGAUGACUGGGUAAGUAAACUUCUUAUGAUGGUGAAAUUAUUUUCUAACAACACUUAAUGCAAGUGUGACAUUAAGACCAGGGCGAUUCAUCAUUAACUUAAAUAACUUAAUCUGGACCUUUUGAAGAAAAAUCAGAAGAAUACAUAAAAGGAUAAUAUUUUAAAAUAAGGUGGCUUUGAAAGAUUAAACUAGGCUGAACGAAAACUCCCAGAUAAUGAAGCCAAUUUCAAAGGCAAUAGCGGAAAUCCAGUUGAACCCUUAAAUUUUUGUUCACUUACACAAGGGAAUUUAUUGACAGAGAUUAAGAGCCAUCCUUGGUGAUGGUGUAAUCAUCUUUUCAUUUGUUGAUGGGCAGAUAAUUGCAUUUAAAUAUAAGAGUAGUAAUGCUCUAAAGCUACCCAAAGUGCAUCACAGGUGCAGCUACUAAAGCCAGCACUCCAGAAAAUGAGUGUUCCUGGGCUGUAUGCUUAUAAAGGUAGAAAUUCGGAAAGCACAUAGAAACAUAGGGAGAAAAAGAAAAUGCACACAGCCUUAUAUUCUUCUAUACUAUUAGGAAAAUAAUGGUAAUUACCUCAAAAUAUUGCUGUGAAAAUUAAGAGAGAGAAUUUAUGUUAGAAUCUGAAACAUAAGAGGCCCUCCAUAAAUGUAAGCUAUGCUUAUUAUUAAUGUGCCAUCUAGGGUCAUAUAAUAGUCUUAGUUUAACUUCCCAGCAGCAAAGGUAUGACAGUGAACAAGGUCGUACACAGGGUAACAUUGGCUCAAUCCACAGGACAGAGAGAGAUGUCCCAGUCUGGACAAGGGAGAUGGAAUAUUUACACCAUGCUUCCAUCAGUCAUUGGUUAAAAGCUACCGCUGAGGCACCUACAUUCCCAGGCAUUUCUGGCAAAGCAGAGUCUGCAGCCAGCCUGGCAGAAGUCUUUCAACAGAGACGCAGGUGCUGGCUUUGGGAGGGAAAGCACACUAGGAAUGGUGUGCACAGAAAUGGUGAAGAGAUGUGAGGGAUACGGAUGGAGCAUCUACUACAAUUUCCUUUCAGUUUCUUUUCUCUGCUUAUGUUGUUUGUUUAUAUAGUUGAAAGAACAUUAUAAAAUACAUUAUAUUCCUCAUGGAAUGUAAUAUCCACAGUGGAAGAACUUUCUGGUUUUUGGUUUUUGGUUUCAUCCCUGGUAGUACUCCUUGACCUGGAACAGUGACAUGGCUGGCAUUCAAUAAAUAUUUGUUGAAUAAA